UACGUAGGUGACAAGCGUUGUCCGGAUUUACUGGGCGUAAAGAGCGCGCAGGCGGUCGAUCAAAUCGAGUGUGAAAGCCCCCGGCUCAACUGGGGAGGGUCAUUCGAUACUGAUCGACUCGAAGGCAGGAGGAGGGUAGUGGAAUUCCCGGUGUAGUGGUGGAAAUGCGUAGAUAUCGGGAGGAACACCAGUGGCGAAGGCGACUACCUGGCCUGUUCUUGACGCUGAGGCGCGAAAGCUAGGGGAGCAAACGGGG
rnacentral:rRNA from 1 species